GAUGAACGCUAGCUACAGGCUUAACACAUGCAAGUCGAGGGACCGGCGCACGGGUGAGUAACACGUAUCCAACCUGCCCUUUACUCGGGGAUCGCCUUUCGACAGCAAGAUUAAUACCCGAUAUAAAGGAUGGGGAUGCGUUGCAGUAGGUUGUUGGUGAGGUAAUGGCUGACGAAGCCUUCGAUGGAUAGGGGUUCUGAGAGGAGGGACCCCCACACUGGAACUGAGGCACGAGCCAAACUCCUACGAGAGGUAGCAGUGCGGCAUAUAGGGAAGUGGGCGCUAGCCUGAACCAGCCAAGUAGCGUGAAGGAUGAAGGCUUAUGGGUCUUAAACUUUUUUUAUAUAAGAACCUGUAUUAGAUGAAUAAGGAACGGCUAACUCCGUGCCAGCAGCCGCGGUAAUUC
rnacentral:rRNA from 1 species